CCUCCAGACUCCUACGGGAGGCAGCAGUGAGGAAUAUUGGUCAAUGGACGAGAGUCUGAACCAGCCAAGUAGCGUGAAGGAUGACUGCCCUAUGGGUUGUAAACUUCUUUUAUAAAGGAAUAAAACGAGGCACGUGUGCCUUUUUGCAUGUACUUUAUGAAUAAGGAUCGGCUAACUCCGUGCCAGCAGCCGCGGUAAUACGGAGGAUCCGAGCGUUAUCCGGAUUUAUUGGGUUUAAAGGGUGCGCAGGCGGCCUGUUAAUCCAGGGGUAAAACCCGGGGGCUAACCCCCGGCGAGCCGUUGAAACUGGCUGUCUUGAGAUGUCGAGAGGUAUGCGGAAUGCGCAGUGUAGCGGUGAAAUGCUUAGAUAUUGCGCAGAACUCCGAUUGCGAAGGCAGCAUACCGGCGGCGAUCUGACGCUGAGGCACGAAAGCGUGGGUAUCGAACAGGAUUAGAUACCCCAGUACA
rnacentral:rRNA from 1 species